rnacentral:rRNA from 1 species
AUUCGCGGCCUAUCAGCUUGUUGGUGAGGUAACGGCUCACCAAGGCAUCGACGGGUAGCUGGUCUGAGAGGAUGAUCAGCCACACUGGGACUGAGACACGGCCCAGACUCCUACGGGAGGCAGCAGUGGGGAAUCUUGCACAAUGGGCGAAAGCCUGAUGCAGCAACGCCGCGUGCGGGAUGAAGGCCUUAGGGUUGUAAACCGCUUUCAGCAGGGAAGAAACUGACGGUACCUGCAGGAGAAGGUGCGGCCAACUACGUGCCAGCAGCCGCGGUGACACGUAGGCACCAAGCGUUGUCCGGAUUUAUUGGGCGUAAAGAGCUCGUAGGCGGUUCGGUAAGUCGGGCGUGAAAACCCUGGGCUCAACCCAGAGAUUGCACCCGAUACUGCUGUGACUAGAGUGCGGUAGGGGAGCGGGGAAUUCCUGGUGUAGCGGUGAAAUGCGCAGAUAUCAGGAGGAACACCAGUGGCGAAGGCGCCGCUCUGGGCCGUAACUGACGCUGAGGAGCGAAAGCAUGGGUAGCAAACAGGAUUAGAUACCCUGGUAGUCCAUGCCGUAAACGUUGGGCACUAGGUGUGGGUCUCAACCAACGAGAUCCGCGCCGUCGCUAACGCAUUAAGUGCCCCGCCUGGGGAGUACGGAAU